rnacentral:rRNA from 1 species
CACGUGGGUAACCUGCCCUAAAGUCUGGGAUACCACUUGGAAACAGGUGCUAAUACCGGAUAACAACAAUAGCUGCAUGGCUAUUGCUUAAAAGGCGGCGAAAGCUGUCGCUAAAGGAUGGACCCGCGGUGCAUUAGCUAGUUGGUAAGGUAAUGGCUUACCAAGGCGACGAUGCAUAGCCGAGUUGAGAGACUGAUCGGCCACAUUGGGACUGAGACACGGCCCAAACUCCUACGGGAGGCAGCAGUAGGGAAUCUUCCACAAUGGGCGAAAGCCUGAUGGAGCAACGCCGCGUGAGUGAAGAAGGUUUUCGGAUCGUAAAGCUCUGUUGUUGGUGAAGAAGGAUAGAGGUAGUAACUGGCCCCUAUUUGACGGUAAUCAACCAGAAAGUCACGGCUAACUACGUGCCAGCAGCCGCGGUAAUACGUAGGUGGCAAGCGUUGUCCGGAUUUAUUUGGGCGUAAAGCGAGCGCAGGCGGAAAGAUAAGUCUGAUGUUGAAAGCCCCCGGCUUAACCGAGGAAUUGCAUCGGAAAACUGUGUUUCUUGAGU